UACGGAGGGUGCAAGCGUUAUCCGGAUUUACUGGGUUUAAAGGGUGCGUAGGUGGACAGGAAAGUCAGUGGUGAAAUCUUCGAGCUUAACUCGGAAACUGCCAUUGAUACUAUUUGUCUUGAAUACUUUGGAGGUAAGCGGAAUAUGUCAUGUAGCGGUUAAAUGCUUAGAUAUUACAUAUAACACCAAAUGCGAAGGCAGCUUACUACCCAGUUAUUGACCCUGAGGCACGAAAGCGUGGGGAUCAAACAGG
rnacentral:rRNA from 1 species